CCCAUCUUCUGAAGUGGUUCUAUUAGAAUAUCCUAUUGUUAUCGAGGAUGUUUCGUAGACAGGAUAUCUUUUCUGUUCAACAUGAUAAGGUGGAGAACAUGUAGCCAAGUGAAAUUAUCCAAGUGGCAGGACAUUCGCAUAUAAAAUAAUUUAUGGUUCACCAUAAAUGUUGUGAAAUCUGGGACUUGUACAAUGCUGAGUUAUGAAUUCAGCCCUUGUUAAUGUUUCCUUUGCAAUAUGUGGUGGGAAACAGCUAUUAAAAAUACUAGCGUCACUAUUUAUUCAGAUUCCACAUCACCAGAAUAAAUUGCCUGAGAGGAAACAUCUUGUUCGUAAUGAUUUGGAAUACAGAGCUUAAAGUUUCAUGCGCUGAGUGUUUAGCUUUAUAAUAAGGAAGCAUUCAUAAUAUAUGUGUGAUAUUUGUUAGUGCUAAAGAUAUAGCUAAAUGUUUCAUGAAAGAGCUAUUGUGCACUUGAUUUUACAAUAAACAGUUAAAACUCCUGGAGUAGAUUCGAUGCAAGUGGAAUGUUUGCUUAGAUUUAGCAAAGAGAAAUACUGUAAAUAAUUCAUGGGUGUAAUCUGACUCCGUAUUUUCCCUGGCCUAUGAGGUCUAUGGACCUACUAUUUUUCCAUGUAGCUUUGUUCUUUUCUACAGGUAGCCGCUUUUCAAAGGUUGUUUGCAAUUCAAUUCUGGGGUCCACUGGAAAAGAAAUUCAGAAGCUAAAUUGGUAGCAAUGUAUGUGAUGGAUCAGAGGAAAUCUCGUGGCUUCUUCCCUACGUAGUCUCAAAGGCCUUCAGAGAGACCACCUGCCACCUCCUUUGAGAAGGAAUGAUAAAGAAGGGAGGUAGGAGGGCUGAAUUCAGUCGGCACCCAUUCGUUCCCGUCCUGUAGCGGCCAGGGUCUCUGCCUCUGCCUUCUCCCUCCAGCAAACCAAAUGGAAUUAGGGGAGAAGUUGAAAGCAAGCCCAAAAAAACAUUGCUGACUCCUGCUCUAGGAUGUUCAUCAACACAGAUGAUGACCUGGGCUCGCACCAGCGUUCCUGCAAGCCAAUGAAGCGAUUACUUUCCAGCUGUUGCACAGGUCUAGCACAGCCCUUGCCGGUUUUUCCUUUUCUGCUUUUGAGUAUCUGGGGCUCAUGUCUUCUGGUAGCAUAUUCCCAAUGUAAGUUCGAUGCUCCUGGUAUGUUCUCGGACAUUCAACACAUGAAGAAAAGCAUUCUACAAUUUCCAUGUGGCACAAAUUUGGAAUGUUUCAUUUGAAAGUUCUGCUAUAUCUCUACUGGGAGAAAUGAUUUUAGAAGAAAUCAUACAUUGAUUGAAGAACUAGCAAAUCAUAUGACCAGCUUUUUCCAAGUUUAUAUUAUUCAUGCCACACCUGAACUCCACAUGGUUUUCAUGGCCAUUUGAUAAAAAGUUUAGAUAAUUGCCCCCCAACCAAAAACCUACCAGAAGAGAGAAUGUCAGUACUCCUUUCUGCCAUUCGCCCAUUUAUUUCCUCUUUUGGGAAGCUAUGAGAGUACCUACUUUUCAUUUCAGAAUUAAAAUUCAAAAUAUGAUGACAUUUUCUUUGUGUUGUAUUAACGCACAUGCCAGAAACUUUUCAGGUUAUGGGUCACCCAGAUUUGACAAUUGCGAUCAAUCCUAAAAAUAUCUAUACAGAACAUUCCUCUGUUUAUUUCUUAUAUUGCUGACUUCCUGAAAACAGAGGCAGUCGUUAUAGUAGAGGUUGCAUUUAAGCAAGAGAAAUUACCAAGCUUAUGGAAACCUACCACCCCGAGGAUUGCUGGCAAGUCUGUACUUCCAUUUUUAUUUAUUUAUUUUUUUACACUUUGCAGUUCAGUCCAAAGUUGCCUAGUCAAAUGUAAUCUUUGUGCUUUCAAAUAAAUUCAAACAGCUUGCUACUGUUUGUCA
rnacentral:lncRNA from 12 species